CCUGAUACGAUAGUCAACAUCCAUAAAAUGUUAUUUCAUCCCUGGGUGUAAUUGAUUCGCGUAAACAUUCAAUGAAACAGAGCAACACGGUGAUUGUACAUUGAAACUAAUUUCAAUUCAGUCGCAACUCUGUUGGUGAUUCAAAUUGUUAAAUGCUAACAAUUCAAUGACUAACUGUACAGGUUGAUUCAAUUUAAAUGCAAACUUUAGAUUUUUCGAAUUUUCUAUGCUUGUCGUAAGUACGAGAGAGACAGACUAUACCCAUCAGAUACUUAUUUAUAUGUAUAUGCAUGAGAAGAAUGGACAUACAGAAUGCUUCCAAACAGCAGCAAAUCUGGUAUUGAAAUAGUUCUUAAUUUUUAUUAAACUUAAAGUUGUUACAUGACAGCUGUCAAAUCUGACUAGUGCAUUUGAACUGUAUAACUCAUUGUAUACGCGGCUUCGUUAAAUAUUUAGUUGACACUCUGGCCACUCGCCAGUCUCCCAUGAUUGGCCAUCGAGGGCAAAGUGAAUUCUGGAUUUUCAUAAGAAAACCUGCUUACCUACUGCUACCGUAAACGACCUGAUUUCGCGUGGCUGACGUAAAAACGACUAGAAUUCACGUGUAAUACUGUAAUCGUACCAUUGAAUAAUUCACGUUAAUCGUAAUUUCCACAAGAAUUAAUUCACCACGUGGAAAAUAUGUACGGAUAGAAAGAUGCGUAGAGCUAGUCUUGUCUAAUUAAAUAAUUCAGUCCUGCAUAAAUAUGCAUACAGAGUUCGUCAGUGUGAAAUUGCAUGCUUUUAAGUUUCAAUGAAAGUCAAUAAAACUGUGGAAUACUCAUUAUUCCAGCAAAGACGAGUCCAAUAGGAAAUACCUUUGUGAGAUCUGAAUAUCCAACUAAAUACCUAUCAAUAAUUUGCAUUGCUAAUAAAAAUCUCUUUUGCACAGGUUAUAUUGUUCCAGGAGCUGAUGCCGCCUACCAUUUUAUAACCAUAAGUCAAAAAUUGACAGCAGGGUGAUACUGUGGUUGCCUUACUAAAGGGUUCAUGUAGCUAUUAGUAUGGCGUAUCAGGUACAUGAACACUUUAUACAGAAAAUGUCUGACGGAUAUCGCUUUAGAAACACAUUUAACCUCAAACGACGAGCAGGGUCGCUUCACUGUUCGCUCUCUGCAGGAAGUCGCGAGGAUCGACUAUUUCUUACAAGAUAAUUAUGUGCAGUUUGCAGGGUGGUAACGAACGGCAAUAAGGACUAUUGGUAAUCGAUUUUAACACGAGUGACUUUGAAACGUGUAACGACGUUUUGCGAACGGAAACAGACCGGAGGUACCUCUGUCUCCAGGAUGUAUGUACAUACCUAAGGGUUAAUAUUAAACGUUUGGAUACCUUCGUCAUCCUUUUUUAGGAUUACGGGAUUACAUUUGAGACGCCUUGUUGGAACAUAUUGGAUCCUGGAUUUAUUUUGACACCAAUAAGACUCCAAUGGAUAUUCUAUUAUAUACAGUCUAUCGCAAGAUACAUAAAGAAAAAAAAACAUCAGGAGUAUAUUUCUACAUAUGUACAGAAAAACUGAAGAAAAAAACUCGAUGUCAACCAGCACACAAGAUUUUCAACAUUAUAUUUAAAAAAAAAUGAAUCGCCUCAGAAAUACAGAAAACCAGGAGAAUAUUCAAAUUCUGACAAUGAUGGCACAAAACUGUCGUAUCAUUAUUUUUGUUUGAACCGGGUUUAGUCAAGACUAUCUAACAAAAGAAGAUGACUGUCCAAAUUCAUGUUCCGUACAGUUCAAAGCUGAUAGGACAGAGAACAAAAGCCGCAACGUAAGGGGUGGGUGCAGCAGCAGCAGCCUGCGUCGUAGGGUUAUUUCGCGCCAGACAAUGACGAUUCAAACUCACUGCAGAUAAACCAGCUACGUGCGGUAAUCACGGUAAUAAGGGGAUG